GUAACAGGAAGCAGCUUGCUGCUUCGCUGACGAGUGGCGGACGGGUGAGUAAUGUCUGGGAAACUGCCUGAUGGAGGGGGAUAACUACUGGAAACGGUAGCUAAUACCGCAUAACGUCGCAAGACCAAAGAGGGGGACCUUCGGGCCUCUUGCCAUCGGAUGUGCCCAGAUGGGAUUAGCUAGUAGGUGGGGUAACGGCUCACCUAGGCGACGAUCCCUAGCUGGUCUGAGAGGAUGACCAGCCACACUGGAACUGAGACACGGUCCAGACUCCUACGGGAGGCAGCAGUGGGGAAUAUUGCACAAUGGGCGCAAGCCUGAUGCAGCCAUGCCGCGUGUAUGAAGAAGGCCUUCGGGUUGUAAAGUACUUUCAGCGGGGAGGAAGGGAGUAAAGUUAAUACCUUUGCUCAUUGACGUUACCCGCAGAAGAAGCACCGGCUAACUCCGUGCCAGCAGCCGCGGUAAUACGGAGGGUGCAAGCGUUAAUCGGAAUUACUGGGCGUAAAGCGCACGCAGGCGGUUUGUUAAGUCAGAUGUGAAAUCCCCGGGCUCAACCUGGGAACUGCAUCUGAUACUGGCAAGCUUGAGUCUCGUAGAGGGGGGUAGAAUUCCAGGUGUAGCGGUGAAUGCGUAGAGAUCUGGAGGAAUACCGGUGGCGAAGGCGGCCCCCUGGACGAAGACUGACGCUCAGGUGCGAAAGCGUGGGGAGCAAACAGGA
rnacentral:rRNA from 1 species